rnacentral:lncRNA from 1 species
UUUAUCUCAAAACUGUAGCAAACACCCAUACUAAUUUGUAUAAUUGAUUUCUAAUGAACAAAUAUAAAUCUUAAAGUGCUUUUAUUCCUAAUCAAGUUUACGGUUCUCAAAUUAAUAGUUCUUACACACUAUAAGUUCUAAAGCCAAAAAUAAAACGCAUCUAUAUAUUUUCAAGAAUUAUAGCAAGAAAUUGUAACUCAUUAUACUAAACAACAACAACACUUAUUUUCAAGUUGAGAAUUACACUCUCC